rnacentral:pre_miRNA from 1 species
AAGAACAUUAUUGGAUCAUGUGGUAAGAGUAUGUUCAGUUGUGUAAGAGACUGUCAAGUUAUCUUCCAAAGUGGCUGUGCCAUUUUGUAUUCCCAUCAGCAAU